GCUUUCGUUCAUUUACUAAUACUACUACAGCUUCAAAGUACAGAUAACAGUGAUGUAUACAGAAAUAUCCGGAUGUCUUCAUCGAAACCCCAAGCGGCCCAUGAAAAAUACCAAACGAACCAAGGACCACAACUUUGUUUCAAGAAAAAAAAACUAAAAAAACAACAAAUAGCCCAUCUAAAAACAUCCUCGCUUCUUUCAUUCAUUCACUCCAAAUAGAGGUUUCUGUCUCGUCCCUCAGUCCCCCACUUGGUGAAUUCGAAAUUCCAAGCAACUUCUGAGAGGGGUUACCAGGUGAAUACAUCAAAUCACAUAAGAAUCAUAUCUCUGGGAUAAUUCAUUAACUAUCGCUUACUUAAUAAGAAGCUUGCUCAACCAAAACCAAGACAUCUGGCCUUGUCCAUAAUCAUCACCAAAUGGAAUGAUGAACUAUAUCAAUCCCUGGCGUUGAAGAUCAGUAUAUGUCUUUUUGUUG
rnacentral:misc_RNA from 1 species